UUGAUUGGUGCUUGCAUCAUGAUUUACAUUUGAGUGAGUGGCGAACUGGUGAGUAACACGUGGGAAACCUGCCCAGAAGCGGGGGAUAACACCUGGAAACAGAUGCUAAUACCGCAUAACAACUUGGACCGCAUGGUCCGAGCUUGAAAGAUGGCUUCGGCUAUCACUUUUGGAUGGUCCCGCGGCGUAUUAGCUAGAUGGUGGGGUAACGGCUCACCAUGGCAAUGAUACGUAGCCGACCUGAGAGGGUAAUCGGCCACAUUGGGACUGAGACACGGCCCAAACUCCUACGGGAGGCAGCAGUAGGGAAUCUUCCACAAUGGACGAAAGUCUGAUGGAGCAACGCCGCGUGAGUGAAGAAGGGUUUCGGCUCGUAAAACUCUGUUGUUAAAGAAGAACAUAUCUGAGAGUAACUGUUCAGGUAUUGACGGUAUUUAACCAGAAAGCCACGGCUAACUACGUGCCAGCAGCCGCGGUAAUACGUAGGUGGCAAGCGUUGUCCGGAUUUAUUGGGCGUAAAGCGAGCGCAGGCGGUUUUUUAAGUCUGAUGUGAAAGCCUUCGGCUCAACCGAAGAAGUGCAUCGGAAACUGGGAAACUUGAGUGCAGAAGAGGACAGUGGAACUCCAUGUGUAGCGGUGAAAUGCGUAGAUAUAUGGAAGAACACCAGUGGCGAAGGCGGCUGUCUGGUCUGUAACUGACGCUGAGGCUCGAAAGUAUGGGUAGCAAACAGGAUUAGAUACCCUGGUAGUCCAUACCGUAAACGAUGAAUGCUAAGUGUUGGAGGGUUUCCGCCCUUCAGUGCUGCAGCUAACGCAUUAAGCAUUCCGCCUGGGGAGUACGGCCGCAAGGCUGAAACUCAAAGGAAUUGACGGGGGCCCGCACAAGCGGUGGAGCAUGUGGUUUAAUUCGAAGCUACGCGAAGAACCUUACCAGGUCUUGACAUACUAUGCAAAUCUAAGAGAUUAGACGUUCCCUUCGGGGACAUGGAUACAGGUGGUGCAUGGUUGUCGUCAGCUCGUGUCGUGAGAUGUUGGGUUAAGUCCCGCAACGAGCGCAACCCUUAUUAUCAGUUGCCAGCAUUAAGUUGGGCACUCUGGUGAGACUGCCGGUGACAAACCGGAGGAAGGUGGGGAUGACGUCAAAUCAUCAUGCCCCUUAUGACCUGGGCUACACACGUGCUACAAUGGAUGGUACAACGAGUUGCGAACUCGCGAGAGUAAGCUAAUCUCUUAAAGCCAUUCUCAGUUCGGAUUGUAGGCUGCAACUCGCCUACAUGAAGUCGGAAUCGCUAGUAAUCGCGGAUCAGCAUGCCGCGGUGAAUACGUUCCCGGGCCUUGUACACACCGCCCGUCACACCAUGAGAGUUUGUAACACCCAAAGUCGGUGGGGUAAC
rnacentral:rRNA from 1 species